UACGUAGGGUGCGAGCGUUGUCCGGAAUUAUUGGGCGUAAAGAGCUUGUAGGCGGUUUGUCGCGUCUGCUGUGAAAACCCGGAGCUCAACUCCGGGCCUGCAGUCGAUACGGGCGGACUUGAGUGUUGCAGGGGAGACUGGAAUUCCUGGUGUAGCGGUGAAAUGCGCAGAUAUCAGGAGGAACACCGGUGGCGAAGGCGGGUCUCUGGGCAACUACUGACGCUGAGGAGCGAAAGCGUGGGGAGCGAACAGG
rnacentral:rRNA from 1 species